rnacentral:rRNA from 1 species
AAUGAACGCUGGCGGCGCGCCUAAUACAUGCAAGUCGAGCGAGAAGACGUAGCAAUACGUUUGUAAAGCGGCGAACGGGUGAGGAAUACAUGGGUAACCUACCCUAGAGUGGGGAAUAACUAGCCGAAAGGUUAGCUAAUACCGCGUACGCUCCUUGGACUUCGGUUCAGGGAGGAAAGCGAUACCGAGGGUAUCGCGCUCUUGGAUGGGCUCAUGUCCUAUCAGCUUGUUGGUGAGGUAACGGCUCACCAAGGCUUCGACGGGUAGCUGGUCUGAGAGGACGAUCAGCCACACUGGCACUGCGACACGGGCCAGACUCCUACGGGAGCAGCAGUAAGGAAUAUUGCGCAAUGGGCGAAAGCCUGACGCAGCGACGCCGCGUGGGGGAUGAAGGUCUUCGGAUUGUAAACCCCUUUCGGGA